rnacentral:rRNA from 1 species
GACGAACGCUGGCGGCGUGCCUAACACAUGCAAGUCGAGCGGGGUUGAAGCGAGAGGUAACUCGAACUUCUACCUAGCGGCGGACGGGUGAGUAACGCGUGGGCAACCUGCCUCAAGGUCUGGGAUAACAGCCCGAAAGGGCUGCUAAUACUGGGUAUGCUUGUGGCCUCGCAUGGGGCUAUGAGCAAAGGGGAAACCCGCCUUGAGAUGGGCCCGCGUCCCAUCAGCUAGUUGGUGAGGUAACAGCUCACCAAGGCGACGACGGGUAGCCGGCCUGAGAGGGUGACCGGCCACACUGGGACUGAGACACGGCCCAGACUCCUACGGGGGCAGCAGUGGGGGAUCUUGCACAAUGGGCGAAAGCCUGAUGCAGCGACGCCGCGUGAGCGAAGAAGGCCUUCGGGUUGUAAAGCUCCGUCUGGAGGGACGAAGGAAGUGACGGUACCUCCGGAGGAAGCCACGGCUAACGUACGUGCCAGCAGCCGCGGUAAGAUCACGUGUAC